UACGUAGGGCGCAAGCGUUAUCCGGAAUUAUUGGGCGUAAAGAGCUCGUAGGCGGUUUGUCGCGUCUGCCGUGAAAGUCCGGGGCUCAACUCCGGAUCUGCGGUGGGUACGGGCAGACUAGAGUGAUGUAGGGGAGACUGGAAUUCCUGGUGUAGCGGUGAAAUGCGCAGAUAUCAGGAGGAACACCGAUGCGAAGGCAGGUCUCUGGGCAUUAACUGACGCUGAGGAGCGAAAGCGUGGGGAGCGAACAGG
rnacentral:rRNA from 1 species